GAAAUGCGAUAAGUAAUGUGAAUUGCAGAAUUCAGUGAAUCAUCGAAUCUUUGAACGCACAUUGCGCCCGUCAGCAUUCUGGCGGGCAUGCCUGUUCGAGCGUCAUUUCAACCCUCAGGACCCCCCUUUCGCGGGGAGGGACCUGGCGUUGGGGAUCGGCCCGCCCCCCGCGGCGGCGCCGUCCCCGAAAUCUAGUGGCGGUCUCGCUGCAGCCUCCCCUGCGUAGUAGUUACAACCUCGCAUCGGAGCGCGGCGCGGCCACGCCGUAAAACCCCCGACUUUCUGAACGUUGACCUCGGUUCAGGUAGGAAUACCCGCUGAACUUAAGC
rnacentral:misc_RNA from 1 species